GUUCACUUCUCAGCCCUAGGGGAGGUACCUGUUCAUUCUCACCCCAGGGGGAGGUACCUGUUACUUCUCACCUCAGGGGGAGGUACCUGUUCAUUCUCACCUCAGGGGGAGGUACCUGUUCACUCUAACCCAGGGGGAGUUACCUGCCCGUUCCUCAUCCCAGGGAGAGGUACCUGUUCAUUGUCACCCAGGGGAAGGUACCUGUUCAUUCCUCACCCCAGGGGAGGUACCUGUUCACUCCUCAGCCUAGGGGGAGGUACCUGCCCAUUUCUCACCCCAGGAGGAGGUACCUGUUCAUUCUCACCCCAGGGGGAGGUACCUGCCCAUUUCUCACCUCAGAGGGAGGUACCUGCCCAUUUCUCACCCCAGGGGGAGGUACCUGCCCAUUUCUUACCCCAGGAGGAGGUACCUGCCCAUUUCUUACCCCAGGGGGAGGUACCUGCCCGUUCCUCAGCCCAGGGGGAGGCCCCAGUUGCUCCUCCCAGGCCGUACCGUGACCGAGGGCUGACCAAACCACCCCCGACCUCACGGG